rnacentral:SRP_RNA from 1 species
GGACGGUGUGAGCGCAACGCUACUCUGUUUACCAGGUCAGGUCCGGAAGGAAGCAGCCAGAGCAGACGACGUGUGUGCCGGGAUGUAGCUGGCAGGG